rnacentral:rRNA from 1 species
CACGUAGGCGGAUUGGAAAGUUGGGGGUGAAAUCCCGGGGCUCAACCCCGGAACUGCCUUCAAAACUCCCAGUCUUGAGCUCGAGAGAGGUGAGUGGAAUUCCGAGUGUAGAGGUGAAAUUCGUAGAUAUUCGGAGGAACACCAGUGGCGAAGGCGGCUCACUGGCUCGAUACUGACGCUGAGGUGCGAAAGCGUGGGGAGCAAACA